AGAAAAUGAGCUCUCCUGGGAGAUGGAGGUGCAAAACGCUGCUGCUUCUGACAGCAGGGAGAAGUGGCACCUUCAGCUCUGGAAUACAACUGCUGCCAAACUCUCCAUAGAACGGUUCAAGACACAGCAGGUCAUGCAGGCUCAGGAGCAGGAAUGUCUCUGAUGGCUGACAAAUGGCGAAGAUAUUCUCUAUCACAUCAGACUCCAAGGUGUAAUUGCAGACUCUGCUCUAAAUGGCCCAGCAGCCCCAAGAGAUGGAAUGGCAUGCCAACAAUGCAAUCACCCUUAAGACAGACUGAGUGGUCAGGUGGAAAAGGGAAUGGAUCAAGGAAAGCGUGGCCAUGCCUACAAGGGAGGCCAGGAGAGCAGACAUCCUACAGACAUCCUUUUGGCACGCUGGGAUCCCUCCACCUACCUCACACAGCCUCAGUGCUCAGCUCCAGCGCUGCCUGAAACUGAUUCUGUAUCUUCACUAAUGCCUUGGUAAGUGAAUGGGAAAUGGCAUCAGACUAAGAGGAUGGAAGUACUCUGGGUUUGCAUCAAGGAUUUAAAAGCGUUUUGAAAGUCAAUUUGAUGAUAAUUAGUAGAGAUGAAUACAAAAUGUCCUUGUGAAGGAAAAAACUUAAAAUAUAAAACAACAAACCAGACAACAAAAAGAGGACAUAUUAACUCUCAGCAUGAAUAUGAACAAAAAAAAGCAACAAUGAAAAAGCAAAGAAGGAAGAAACACCUCAUCCUUGUGUGUUAAGUGCCAUAAACAGUACAUAACACCUUCUUCUAAUUACAUGGUGCUGAGGCAUCUGAGGGAGUGCUAUCUCCUUUUGGCUACUGUACAACAAGAGGAUUUACCCAAACUGGAAAGUGUGCAGAACAGGCUGAAAGAAAAGGGAACCGGUUGGGAAAAUCUGAUACAAGGUCAAAUUUGUUGGAUUUCCUGAAGUUAGACUAAGAACAGGCUGUAUUUAUACAGCAAAACGUAUUCACUCAUUGUUUGGCUGUCGUAGCUAAUAAAAAGCUAAAUAUCUCCCCAGGACUCCUCCCCUGCCACACACAUACACACAUCUCUGCUCCGGUUUUCAUACACAUCUGUGUCAAUGGACUGAGCUCAAUAAAGAAAUUCAUCACAUUGCCUGGAUGUGGCAUUUUCAGGGUGUAAUAUUUAUGUGUACUGUAGGCCACAAUACAAUUAAAGAAACUAGACUGAAAAAUAAGGAAAACUUCGUAGAAUUUUUUUUUCUUACAGUAAAUGCAUUUGCUGAAAAAGACACUAUUCUCUGGAAGAGGUUGAAGUGUAGCAAAUUGGCUUCAAGAAAAAUCACAAGACUUUCAAUAAAAAGACGAAAUAGGAACACUCUUAAGACAGCAGGUGGUAAAACGAGAUACAGGAACGUUCCCCCAUAUAAAGAAAUAAAACAAAACAGAGCUCUGUGAUUUUACUGCCAUUUCCCAGC
rnacentral:lncRNA from 1 species